rnacentral:rRNA from 1 species
AAUGAACGCUGGCGGCGUGCGUAACACAUGCAAGUCGAACGAGAAAUUCCGGGCUUGCUCGGGAGAGUAAAGUGGCGAACGGGUGAGUAACGCGUGGGUAACCUGCCCCUGAAUCUGGAAUAACUUCGCGAAAGCGAGGCUAAUACCGGAUAUUGUCCCAGGGACCUCGGUCCUUGUGAUGAAAGAUGACCUCUUCACGAAAGUUGUCGUUCAGGGAGGGGCCCGCGUACCAUUAGCUAGUUGGUAGGGUAAUGGCCUACCAAGGCGAAGAUGGUUAGCUGGUCUGAGAGGAUGACCAGCCACACUGGCACUGAAACACGGGCCAGACUCCUACGGGUGGCAG